rnacentral:rRNA from 1 species
CACGUAGGGGGCAAGCGUUGUCCGGAUUUAUUGGGCGUAAAGAGCUCGUAGGCGGUUCGGUAAGUCGGGUGUGAAACCUCCAGGCUCAACCUGGAGACGCCACCCGAUACUGCUGUGACUAGAGUCCGGUAGGGGAGCGUGGAAUUCCUGGUGUAGCGGUGAAAUGCGCAGAUAUCAGGAGGAACACCGGUGGCGAAGGCGGAUCUCUGGGCCGUAACUGACGCUGAGGAGCGAAAGCAUAGGGAGCGAACAGG